rnacentral:rRNA from 1 species
AAAAACAUAGCCUUAGGUAAUGAUAUAAGGUGUUUCCUGCUCAAUGAGCAUUAAAUAGCCGCGGUACCUUGACCGUGCUAAGGUAGCAUAAUCAGUUGACUUUUAAAUGAAGUCUGGAAUGAAUGGAUCAACGGAGUUUAGCUGUCUCGGAAUAUCUAUUAUGAACUUACUAACUAGGUGAAAAGGCCUAGAAAUGAAAAAGGACGAGAAGACCCUUAGAGUUUAAAUUUUGUUGGGGCGACAAGGAAUCAAUUAAACAUUCCUAAUUUUAUAAGACGGUUAUAACAUGUAUAGAAAAACUACCUGAGGGAUAACAGCAUUAUCUUUUUAGGUUUGUGACCUCGAUGUUGGACUAGGAAGCCUAUAAGCUAGCCGCUUAUAUGGGGGAUUCUGUUCGAAUUUUUACUCCUAC